rnacentral:rRNA from 1 species
GACGAACGCUGGCGGCGUGCUUAAUACAUGCAAGUCGAACGGAAAGGCCCUGCUCGCAGGGUACUCGAGUGGCGAACGGGCGAGUAACACGCGGGUGAACUGCCCUGCACUUCGGGAUAAGCCUGGGCAACUGGGUCUAAUACCGGAUAGGAGCUAUUUUUAGCGUGAUGGUUGGAAAGUUUUUUCGGUGUAGGAUGAGCUCGCGGCCUAUCAGCUUGCUGGUGGGGCGAUGGCCUACCAAGGCGGCGACGGGUAGCCGGCCUGAGGGGGUGGACGGCCACAUUGAGUCUGAGGGGCGGCCGAGACUGCUAAGGGAGGGAGAAGUGGGGAAUCUUGCAGGAUGGGCGCAAGCCUGGUGAAGCGACGCCGCGUGGGGGAUGACUGCCUUCGGGUUGUAAACUCCUUUCGCUAGGGACGAAGCUUUUUGUGACGGUACCUAGAUAGGAAGCACCGGCUAACUACGUG